rnacentral:lncRNA from 1 species
AUCUGAGUGUUUAGAGAAGAUUAGAAUAAGUUUAGAGAAGAUUUAAAGACUAAACCGAGAUUAAGAGACUAGAGAGAGUUUUAGAGAGACUAAGAGAGACUCAUAACUUGCUUGAUCUUAUUAAUGAGAGAGUUUACACUUAUAUAGGAAACUUAAGACACUAGGGUUUUGAUUGUAUAAAAAAGAGAAAGCAUGUGAAGUAAAUAGCCAGCUACGGUCGCAUUUGAAUCCUUCCAAUGAGAGUCUCCACAUGUGUAAGGCAUCUUUGAAUAUGCCUUUACCUUUCCAGCUCCUGCCAGGCUGUUAGACACGCUCCUUCUUAUCCUCUCAACGUCCGGAUCAAGCUCAGCCUUAAGGUAAAGUAACUCUAGCUGGUUUACUCUUAAGGUAAAGGUAACUUCUGGUCGAGUGUACUUGGUACGGACGGUACGGCCAUGUACGGCCUUGUACGGACGUCCGUACCAUGUUGCCCAAAGUUCCCUCAUUCUCUUCCUCCCCUUCUCUUCAACUCCUAUAUACUCAACUCAUCUCAACACUCCCCCUCAAGCUUAGCUUUGUGAAAGACUAAGCUUGGACAGCCAUGAGAUCUUCCUCAUUAAAAACCUCACUAAGGAAAACCCAUUGGGACAAAACCUUAAUGAGGGAAAAAGAGUAAAGAUCUCAUGACUAAGGGGAUCAGCUGCUUCUCUUCCCAAGAUCAAUGAGGCCCAAUCUGAUAUGAAUGGACUCCAUUGUCUUUUGUCUUGCAGCCUUGGUGAAUACAUCAGCCAACUGAUCUUCACUCCUAGUAUAACAUGGCAAGAUGACUCCUAGGACAAUCAUCUGCCUCACCUUGUGGCAAUCAACCUCAAUGUGCUUUGUUCUCUCAUGGAACACCGAGUUGGAGGCUAUGUGAAUGGCGGCCUGGUUGUCACAAUGCAUUGUCAUUGGAGUGUCUUGUGCUAUCUCCAAAUGCUUCAAGAUGCCCUUGAUCCAAACUAGCUCGUUUGUAAGCUUCAGCAUGGCUCUAUAUUCAGCUUCUGCACUAGAGCAUGACACCACCUUCUGUUUCUUACUCUUCCAAGUCACCAAGUUGCCUCCAAUGAAUGUGCAAUAGCCGGUUGUUGAUCUUCUGUCAGCUCUAUCACCUGCCCAAUCAGCAUCACAAUAGCCCACCACUUCUGUGCUUCCAUUGCACCCCAUCCAUACACCUUGAUCCGGCGAGCCAUUUAGAUACAUCAGCAGCCUCUCCACCAUACGCCAAUGAUGUUCCUUGGGAAGUUGCAUGUGUUGACUCACCUGAUUCACAGCAAAGUAUAUAUCAGGUCUUGUGAUGGUUAGAUAAAUCAAUUUUCCAACAAGUUUUCUAUAGAGUUUAGGAUCAUGAAAUGGCUUGCUGUCUUCAAUCUCCCCCUCUCUUGGUACUUUGUAGCCAUCCUCCAUUGGCAUCCUUGCUGUCUUGCCUCCAUAAGCACCUGCAUCUUUCAAUAGAUCAAGUGUAUACUUCCUUUGGGACAUGAACAAACCUUCCUUGGAUCUACAAAUCUCAAUUCCAAGAAAGUAUUUCAUUUCUCCCAAGUCUUUUAUUUCAAACAUAGACUUUAGAAACUCCUUGGUUGCUUUGAUACCUUCUUUAUCACUUCCUGUGAUAAUGAUAUCAUCCACAUACACAAGGAGAGCAACCAUACCUGAGGGUGUAGUAAGGGUAAAUAGAGUAUGGUCCAAUUCUGACUUCUUAAAGCCUCGGCCAUUCAGAGUUGUGCUCAGCUUGUUGUACCAUGCUCUUGGUGAUUGCUUCAGCCCAUAGAUAGCCUUCUUUAACCUCAGUACAUUCCCUCUCUUCACUAGAUGUUCAAGACCUGGUGGAGGAUACAUAUAGACUUCAUCCUCAAGUUCUCCUUGUAGAAAUGCAUUCUUUACAUCCAUUUGCCAUAAUCCCCAUCCAAGGUUCACAGCCAAGCUUACAACAAUUCUAAUUGUGUGUAGCUUGGCUACUGGUGCAAAUGUCUCAAUGUAAUCCUCUCCAUAUUUCUGAGUAAACCCUCUUGCUACUAGUCUAGUUUUCUUCCUCUCAAUCGACCCAUCAGCCUUGUACUUGAUUGUAAAGAUCCAUCUACUAGACACUGCCUUCUUCCCUUUUGGUAGUUCACUCUCAUACCAUGUAUCAUUCUUUAUCAUAGCUCCUGCCUCAGCUCCUACUGAUUCCUUCCACUCCUUAUCCUCCAUUGCCUCUUCAUAGCUUCUUGGAAUGUGAUUCUCAUUCAAGUUUACCAUAAAUGCACAAUGUGCUUCUGGAUAUUGACUGAAAGAACACACGGCCUGAGUAGGAUGCUCCACAGCUUGGGCAUUGUAGUACACUCUCGUGUUUACCCAACUGGAAGGAUCCUUUCUCAGCCUUGUACUUCUUCUUAACAUUGGCCCUUCUUGUGCCAUCUCUUGCUCUUCUUCUUGUGGCAACAUUUCAGAUCUUUCUUCUUCUCCUAGCUGACUUGCUUCAGCUCCCUCUUCCCUUAGCUGACCUUCUUCAGCUUCUUCUUGUUGAUCAUUUGAUUCCACAGCUUGAUCAUGAGAGCCAGAACUCUCUUCUCUACUUGUUUCUUCACGGUUUGGAGUUCUUGUUUCAUUCCCCCCUUCAUGCUCAAGGUUGGAAGUCGGAUGAUCCGGUGCUGGAGUUGUGCUUCUCCCCUCCUGAUGUCCUUGAUUCAUGUUGAUUCCAAGCCCUUCUAGGAUCAACCUCAAGGUUUCAGCUCUAUCAGAUGUAAGAUCCUUCAAGUCUUCUUGAAUCUGCUCCUCAUAAUAUCCUUUUUCUUCAACAAACUUCACUUCUCUAGAUACUAACACUCUCCUUGUGUUAGGAUCAUAGCACUUGUAUCCUUUCUGACUUGAUGAGUAUCCAAUGAACAUUGCCUUUGAACUCUUAGCUUCUAGCUUGUUUCUUAUCUCUCCAGGCACCAUCACAAAACACAAACAUCCAAAGAUCUUCAUAUGCUCGAGUGAAGGCUUGUACUGAUUCAAUACCUCAAAAGGUGAUUGUCCUUGAAGGAUCAGAGUUGGUGUCCUGUUGAUGAGAUAACAAGCCGUAGCCACUGCAUCACUCCAAAACUUCUUAGGCACAUUAGAUUGAAACAUCAUGGACCUGGCUACUUCCAUCAAGUGCCUGUUCUUCCUUUCAGCCACACCAUUCUGUUGUGGUGUAUAGGGACAGCUUGUCUGAUGAAGUAUUCCAUGCUGAGAUAGGUGUAACUUGAAUGCUUGUCCCGUGUACUCUCCUCCAUUAUCUGAUCUAAAAUUUUUUAUCUUGGCAUUGUAAUAGUUAGUCACAUAGGCUUGAAAGUUUUUAAAUGCAUCAAUUACCCUAUCUUUGGUUGGAAUUAAAGUUAACCAGGUGUAUUUGGAUUUUUCAUCAAUGAAAGUUACAUAGUACUUAUGGUUAUCUCUAGAAAGGCAAGGUGCAGUCCAAACAUCAGAAUGAAUAAGAUCAAAACAUUUUUCAUAAACAGUAGUAGACUUGGUAAAGACAGUUCUACAAUGCUUGCCUAAAAUGCAAGCUUCACACUCAUUAUUCUCAAAUGAAACACCUGGCAACAUCAGUUUUAAAGCCUUAUUAUGAGGGUGUCCUAAUCUAGCAUGCCACAAUGCAUUUUUACUUAAACUAGAACCAGAAACAGAAGUAAAUGAGCAGCUAUAACUCGAAACAGGAGCAAGAUCUUUAAGUAAAUACAAUUCUCCUUUAGUCACUCCCUUUCCAAUCAUCUUGCUGCUUUUAAUAUCCUGAAACUUCACAUCAUUAGGACUGAAUAUGACAUUGCAUUGCAAAUCAGUAGCACAUUUCUUAACAGAUAACAAGUUUGAAGUAAAUUCAGGCAUAUAAAAGGCUUUAGUUUCCUUACCAAACAGUUUAAGACUUCCUAUCCCUCUAAUAGGUAUCUUAUCUCCAUUAGCUAUCAUCACAUUACCAUUCAUUGGUAUAAUGUUUUUAAUCAAACUAGUGUCACUUAUCAUAUGAUGAGAUGCACCAGAAUCAACUACUAAAGGCUUAGUGGUAUGUGAACUAGCAAUAUGAGCAAGGAUACUAGAUGGUUUGAAUACAUGAUCAUUCCUAGCAAUACUAGCUGUUCUAGAUUGGUUUAAUAUCUCAAUCACACUUUCAUGCAUCCUAUCAGUUCUAGUUAGAUUCUCAUCAUUCUCUAUAGCUCUAGCAUCAAAGGAAUAAGCAAAAGUGUUACCAUGCUCUUUGAAGAGCUUGAUGAGAGCAUCCAGGUCGGAUUUUCUUAGAUACUCUUGAUCAUAGUUCCCACGGUUGCUUGGGGCUCCAGUGUAGGCUACAAGAGACCUCCCAUCACCUCCUUCACGCCCAUCUAUCUCCUUUCCUUUGCUUGAACCAGCUCCACUCGUUCCAUCUGAUACAUUAGCCCUUGCCUCACGGUCCUUCAUGAACUUUUCCGGUUUGAGGUGUGGGUGAAGGAUCCAGCAUUGACUCUUCUUGUGGCCAUGCUUCUUGCAGUGAUCACAAUUCCCAUUGAACCUCCUCUCCUCAUACUUCCCAUGCGCAGCAGCCUUAUUCGCUUGUGGAGCUUCACUCCCCUCCUCUUGAGUUGCUUGGCUUGCAAGAGAAAGGUCUCCUUUCUUGGCAAACAACCCAAUGGAGCCUUGCUCCUUCUGAAUUCGCGCACACACAUCCUCAAGGUCAGGUAGAGUGUCUUCUCUAAGUAGGUGCUGGAUGAGACCAUUAUACGCCGGGUUUAAGGUGAGAAGUAGGCCAAAGACCUUGUCUUGCUCUCUUCUCUUGUUGAGCUCAUCUGCAUCUGUAGUGCUUGGCCUUAACAUCUCCAUCUCGGACCAUAGUGAUCUGAAUCUCCCAAGGUGUUUAGUGAACUCCAUAUCCUCUUGUACCAGGUUGUUGAUCGCUUGCUUCACCUCAAACACCCUGCUCAAGUUUGAUGUAUUCCCAUACACCUUCUUCAAUGUGUCCCACAGCUCCUUAGCAGACUCACAGUAGCUGUAGGCAUCUAAGAUUGCUGGCUCAAGAGAUGCGUGAAGCACUGACAUCACCAGCAUGUCCUCUUGAUACCAUUUCUCAGCCGCGUUGCUUGCAGCCUCACCAUCAUCCUCUCCUUGAGUGAUGAGCUUUGGAGCUUCUCCGGGGUUGAUAUGCUUCCACAACCCUUUGCUUCCCACCGUGGUUCUCACCAUCCUUGACCACACCAAGUAGUUGUUUCCCUUGAAACACACAGCUACCUUCAUGUUCAUAUUCAUCCCACUCUCCAUGUUGAAUGAUGAACUCUCUAAGCUUCAGAAACUUUAUCUUGAGUUGAAUGAUUUGUAGAAACCUUCACAGCCUCGAUCUUCAACCCACGCAGCUUCAGAUAACACCCCACGAUCAGUCUUGAACUUGAAAAGUACCCAGAACCUCUCAAACACACAAGAACACACAAGAGUUUCUUCAAAGCUUCAACCUUGAAACUUCAAAGAAUCUCACACGACCUCAGGUUCUCACUAACCUGGCUCUGAUACCUGAUAGGAUCAUCUGCUCCUUUGAUCUCUUGCCCCUUCAUAACCAUACUGUCCUCCACUGAGUUUUAUUAAUGAAGAGAUUUAGAUGUAAAAGAUAAUAGUUUUAGUGAUGUUAAGAGUAAUCUGAGUGUUUAGAGAAGAUUAGAAUAAGUUUAGAGAAGAUUUAAAGACUAAACCGAGAUUAAGAGACUAGAGAGAGUUUUAGAGAGACUAAGAGAGACUCAUAACUUGCUUGAUCUUAUUAAUGAGAGAGUUUACACUUAUAUAGGAAACUUAAGACACUAGGGUUUUGAUUGUAUAAAAGAGAAAGCAUGUGAAGUCAAUAGCCAGCUACGGUCGCAUUUGAAUCCUUCCAAUGAGAGUCUCCACAUGUGUAAGGCAUCUUUGAAUAUGCCUUUACCUUUCCAGCUCCUGCCAGGCUGUUAGACACGCUCCUUCUUAUCCUCUCAACGUCCGGAUCAAGCUCAGCCUUAAGGUAAAGUAACUCUAGCUGGUUUACUCUUAAGGUAAAGGUAACUUCUGGUCGAGUGUACUUGGUACGGACGGUACGGCCAUGUACGGCCUUGUACGGACGUCCGUACCAUGUUGCCCAAAGUUCCCUCAUUCUCUUCCUCCCCUUCUCUUCAACUCCUAUAUACAAAGUCCCCUCAUUCUCUUCCUCCUCUUCUCUUCCACUUCUUAUCUCUUCUUGUUCAUAUCCUC